GCCCUGUGUGGGUGGGGUCACAGAUGCCUUAUUAUAGCCCAAAUCCCCCCUGAAAAAAGCAAUCAGGGCUUCAAUAAAUCAAUUAACCAGUUAAUUAGCUCACAGAACGACAAAAGCCCAACUGAUAAAUCAGAUUUACCCUUUUAUGAGGAUUGUCCUCUGCUAAUUUAAGGAGUUCCGUGACUUACCCAGAAGCCUCUGUCAGGGCCUCCUGGAUUGUCCAUGUCCAGGGCUCUGGGCGCCACCACCGCUCAUGGGUGACCUUGAGAACGCUGUCUCUACGCCAGGUUAGUGACAGAGAGCUGACGCACAGAGGGUGGACUGAACAUGGCUGCUUUCACUCUCGAUCCAAGGGACCUUUCACAAGGCAAGGCUUCCAGAGCCCUGGAUAAAGAGAACGGGAGACAGGGCGGCAACAAAGCUGGCAAGGAGCGGAAGUGGUACCCGAGGCCGAGGCCCAGGUCGGCUCCACCGUGUCUCCCUGAGGAAAGCCAAGCUGGGGCUCAGGUGGGCAAAGAGCAGCAGCAAAGACUGACGAUGUGGUGGACGGUGCAGCAGGAAUCCCAGGUGCUCUCCUCACCCCACGGCCUGGGCACUGUCAGCCCCUGUCCAAAGCCUGCGGCCUACCCUCGGGCCCGGGUCAAAUCCAGGCCCCCGCCCUGGGGUGCAGAGCCAAGCUGACAACAGGGGUGCGGGUGCGUGCACCAGGCCCUCCCAGCCUCUUCCCCCCUCAUCUCCUCUGGAGGCAGCUCUGAUAAAGGUCAAAAUGUGUGGGCCAGGGAUUUAGCUCAGUGGUUCCACCGCCUGCCCUGCAAGCGAAAGGACCCAAGUUCGACCCCCUGUACAAAAAAAAACAAAACCAGAAAGAAUACUUCCUACCAAGUUAGGGAUAGUCUUUUAAAUUUUCAACUUGCUUGAUGUUGAUACCCAGUUAAAUUUCUCCCAGGAGAAAGAAAGGAAAUGGGACUAAAGAAGACACUCAGUGGGCCCUUCAGGCACCCAGAGAGCUGGUGGGAAGGGGCAUCGGAAGGGGAGGGAGACAGGGAAAUGGCACUCUUGCGGGGACAGGAGAGACCCCUCACUUCCCUGCAUAUACAGUAAUGCUUUCAUGGUCUCAGCUGGAAGUGGCCCGGCUCCCUGCUGACUCGGGCACCAGCACUGUCACCCAUGGUGCCCGUGGCUUUCUGAAAGGCUUCAGCUUGCCAUCCUGAAGACCCUGCCACCGAACACCCAGAAAGCACAGCAGCUUCCUCCGUGGGGUCUGGCCACCUCAGCUAGCUACGAUUUCAGGGCUUGCUGGAUGCACCCACAGCCUGCACUCCCGUGGUUUAAGUCUGCAGCGUGGACACGAUGAGCAGACAGACCCGCCUCGUCCUCAGCAAUGGAGACCAUGCUUCUGUGUCCGUGCUCGGCCUGGCCUCUCACCUGCCUCUGCAUCUCUUCCAUCUGUCUUCUCGGGAUGCUCUGCAGGACACCAUACAUGUCAGCUAUCUUCUCUUCCGGCACCACCACAGACGCCCUGGAGAUGACAGCAGGACAGCCGAAAGGCAGGAUGUAGGAGUCUGCGAUGACAACUGGGACACAGCCAGCCCGCAACACGUCACUCAGUGCGGCCUGGCCCAGCCGAGCACCUCGAAGGACCACGCAGAAAGUCGCCUCCUGC
ensembl:lncRNA